UACGAAGGGGGCUAGCGUUGCUCGGAAUCACUGGGCGUAAAGCGCACGUAGGCGGCUUGUUAAGUCGGGGGUGAAAUCCUGGAGCUCAACUCCAGAACUGCCUUCGAUACUGGCGAUCUCGAGUCCGGAAGAGGUGAGUGGAACUCCUAGUGUAGAGGUGGAAUUCGUAGAUAUUAGGAAGAACACCAGUGGCGAAGGCGGCUCACUGGUCCGGUACUGACGCUGAGGUGCGAAAGCGUGGGGAGCAAACAGGG
rnacentral:rRNA from 1 species